rnacentral:rRNA from 1 species
GACGAACGCUGGCGGCGUGCUUAACACAUGCAAGUCGAACGGAAAGGCCCUGCUUUUGUGGGGUGCUCGAGUGGCGAAAGGGUGAGUAACACGUGAGUAACCUGCCCUUGACUUUGGGAUAACUUCAGGAAACUGGGGCUAAUACCGGAUAGGAGCUCCUGCUGCAUGGUGGGGGUUGGAAAGUUUCGGCGGUUGGGGAUGGACUCGCGGCUUAUCAGCUUGUUGGUGGGGUAGUGGCUUACCAAGGCUUUGACGGGUAGCCGGCCUGAGAGGGUGACCGGCCACAGUGGGACUGAGAUACGGCCCAGACUCCUACGGGAGGCAGCAGUGGGGAAUAUUGCACAAUGGGCGGAAGCCUGAUGCAGCAACGCCGCGUGCGGGAUGACGGCCUUCGGGUUGUAAACCGCUUUCGCCUGUGACGAAGCGUGAGUGACGGUAAUGGGUAAAGAAGCACCGGCUAACUACGUG